GACCACCAGACCCGGCGACCACCAAAUCCGGCUCUCGGCCCACGACGCCUGCGCGGCCGGAAGCGGCCCGAGGCGAGCGCGAGGCUGCCCCCUGGUGGCCGCACAAUGGACGCCCGCGGCAGCGCAGGCUCUCUCCACCCAGCCUCUGGCUCUGGCUUCCACUCUCCAAAUGCAUGAAUGAAUGCCAGGAUGCAACAACCAGGUGGAGCCCGGGGCUGAGAACCUCGGAGGGUUGCUUCGUGAUCUCCACUCUUUGCAAAGCGGUGGCUGCCAAAGGGUGGUCCUCAGAGCAGCAGCGUGAGCAAAUGUCCGAAAUGAAAUUCUCAGCCCCCUGCAGACCGAGCCCUGCCGUGCUUCUAGAUUUGAAAACUGCAUGUAAAGAUGAUUUGGGGGCUUCGACCUGAGACAGAAAGCUAACUUCACAGAUUUCAGGUCCAAACCUCAAGCUGGAUAUUUAAGUGAUGUAAAAGGCUAGAAGAUCCCAACGUGCCACACUAGUAUCUGUACUUGAUAUGAAACGAGAGGGGUAGGGUUUCGAAACAGAAAAUCAGACCUAACACUACCUAAUUUGUUGUUUGUUUUGAGGGGGCCAGGCAAAUAUCAUGACAGCCUGUCCUAAUAACUCAAUUAAGAACGAGACCUCCUCUCCAGGACCCUGUUUAAAAUAUACGUAUUAUCUAUUUCUGAUCUACUUUCCAGGUUUGAAAUCAAAUACGGCACACGGAUUUUAAAAAAUCCAUCUGUGCUUAUUAUCCAAACAAUGAGUGUUAACUCCAAGCAUGCUGAAGGACCUGGGUUCCAUAGAUCUAGGAAGCACCAGAGGGGUGGAGCAAAACGAAAACACUCUGUGUCUAUCUCCUGUGCUCGCCACCAUCCUCCCCCUGCCGGCUGCUGUAUCGGCUGCUGGAUCUUCUUGAAAUGAUGGCCUGGAUCCCACCGGAAGACCACUCGCAGCCCCUCACAUCACAGCAGCCAACAGAAAGCUGGAGCCAGAGCCACCAGCUGGAACCUUCCUUUCCACCCAGUGGAACUGGACUUCCAAGAAGCCCAAACCAGCCUCCCCACGCCCCUGCCCACCCUGCUGCAUUGCCGUGGCACAACUGUGGAGAUGUUCUCAUGUUUGCUUUGAAGUGGGGAUUUUUCUUUAUUCUUGGGGACACAUGUAUACAGUGAAUUAAGAUCGCAUCCUCCCCCAUUUCCCUUCUCCACCCCUCCCACCUUCCCGACAUGGCCCCUUCCCAACUCCAGGUCUUUCUCCUUCUCCUCCGUUUUCAUAGGCCGCUGGCUUCGCCCUCAGAAAAGAUUCUCCCUCCAACACAGCUAUCAACUGGCGACUGCUCCUCGGUGAGGGGAUGGGCCAAGAAAGCCCCCCGCCCCCAAAUCCAUGCUGGAAUUUUAGUCGGCUUGGUCUUGUGCUGUGAGUUCACGAGGGCAACAGCUCUGGACAGCCUCCCACGGCACUCCCCAUCCUCUGCACCCUUACAUUCUUCCCGCCUCCUCCUCCUCCUCUGCCAGGGUGCACGUGUGCACAGUAAAGAUGCCUCGUUUAGGGGUGAGCACUCAGUCUUCACUCAGCACUUCGUGCUGGGCUGGCUGCACUGACUGCUUCUUGAUGGUGAAACUAUCUGGGUCUCUGGCCCGAGAGCUGACAUGGGUUCUCCGUGAAAACAAGAAGGACUGGGUAUGCUGGGGUGGUGGUACUUGCCUUUAACCCCAGCACUCAGAGGCCGACUGACCUGCACAUGAGACAUCUGAUUCCAGGCAGCAUAAGCCACUUUGAGAGCUAGGCUAAUGAUGAGUGUUCUACUCAUGUCCCAACUAAUGCUGAAUGAGGCACUCAUGAAACUCUGGAAACAAACAUUAAAAUUCACAUUACCAGUAAAGGGCUGGAA